GGGGCAGCGGGGAGGAAGCUUGCUUUCUCCGCCGGCGACCGGCGCACGGGUGAGUAACACGUAUGCAACCUGCCCCUGUCAGGGGGACAACCCGCCGAAAGGCGGGCUAAACCCGCGUACAUGCCACCGGGGCAUCCCGGAGGCAGGAAAGGCUUCGGCCGGACAGGGAUGGGCAUGCGGCGCAUUAGGCAGUAGGCGGGGUAACGGCCCACCUAACCGACGAUGCGUAGGGGUUCUGAGAGGAAGGUCCCCCACACUGGUACUGAGACACGGACCAGACUCCUACGGGAGGCAGCAGUGAGGAAUAUUGGUCAAUGGUCGGGAGACUGAACCAGCCAAGCCGCGUGAGGGAGGAAGGUACAGAGUAUCGUAAACCUCUUUUGUCAGGGAACAAAGACUGGGACGCGUCCCCGGAUGAAAAAAAAAAAAGAAAAAGCAUCGGCUAACUCCGUGCCAGCAGCCGCGGUAAUACGGAGGAUGCGAGCGUUAUCCGGAUUUAUUGGGUUUAAAGGGUGCGCAGGCGGUCUGUUAAGUCAGCGGUCAAAGCCCGGGGCUCAACCCCGGCCCGCCGUUGAAACUGGCAGUCUCGAGUUGGAGAGAAGUAUGCGGAAUGCGCGGUGUAGCGGUGAAAUGCAUAGA
rnacentral:rRNA from 1 species